ensembl:lncRNA
UGUUACACAAGUUGCUGAGUUUACUUCCACAUCCUAAAGUAUAAGAGUUUUACUUUCAGUUUUUACCUAACAAGACACAUGUCUCAAUCAAUACAUAUUAAUUCACACAGUCCUCUACAAAGCCAGUGCUUUCAAAAUGAUUGUAGCGCACCUUAAAGUUUUCAAUCACUUUCACGCCCUUUAUCUCAAUGGCAAACAACAUCCCUGGGAGUGAGAAAGACAGCUUCACUGUCACCCCUUUAAAGGUGGGAAAGGAGCUCAGAAAAGUCUGUGUCUGGGCCAAUAUCACAGAAUUGAUUAGUGACACAACUAGAACUGGAAUCCAGGUCUUCUGGGUUCUCCUUCACCAUGCCACCUACACACAGCACAACAAAAUUACAACCAUACAAUUCAUCACAUUGAAACUAUUCUACUAUGCCUUCAUUUAUCUAACAAUGGUCUAUUACCUAUAUGUACUACACACUGAACUAGAAAGCUAGGUAAAAGCUCGACAUCUCUACAAGCUCUUCCAAGAGUUCUGUCUGACUCUUUCUUCUCCUCCCCAUUUCCAGGGGCAGCACGGACUUUCCUCCUUAAACUGUACAAAAUAGGCAUGGUGAUGGUUUGAAGUCACUGCAUGUAAUUGUGGGCACUGUGAUGACACCAUCUCAAAGUCUAUUUGGGGAAAAGUUUCUGAGACCCGUCUUGAACUCUCAGUCUACUGAAGACUGUGGGGUAAAGGAGUGAGGCAUGACGCUAUUCUCCUUAGCAAACAUGAUUCAGUGAUACAGGAAGAUAAUAUACUUAUGUCCCACUGAUUUGCUCCCAUCAUCUAUGUGGCUAGAUUACCCAGGUGACUUGGUAACCUCCUCCCAGUGCCCAUCCACCUGUCUAGAUGCCUAUGAUUCACUGAAUCACCACCCACUCACGUCAGUCUGGACAUCUAACCAAGACUGUUUGAAGAGGUGCUUUCCAGAGACUUGAGAGCAUCAAAUUUUCUUAUACAAAAUUUCUCCUCCUGAAAUGUCAUCAAAUUUCAUUUUUUGUUAAACAUGGUUCUCCUCACUCAAUCUGUUUUAAAGUUUAAAAAAAAAAAACUACUGCAGGAAGUGUAUAUUGCCUUAAUGUGAAUUUGAUUACCAUGAGCUUUCUAGAAAGGUGGGAGGAACCAGGCAACCACACAUAAAUGGGGUCCUGAGAAAGCAGCUGCACAGAACAUUCAGAAACCGGGAGGAGAAGAACAAGGGAAGGACUGCCUCAGACACGACUCUCCAAAUUCCCAGUUGUGCCAAAGGAGCUCUGAAAUAAGAGGUAUAUUACUGGCUUCUAAAGACAUAAUCACCCUUGGGCAGUUUUCCUGCCUUUGGUUUUUGGGUUUGUUCUUCUUUUUUUGUUUGUUUGUUCAUUUGUUUGCUUUUUAGGGCUGCACCUGCAGCAUAUGGAGGUUCUCAGGCUAGGGGUGGAAUCAGAGCUGCAGCUGCUGUCAGCCUAUGUCACAGCCACAGCGAUGCCAGAUCUGAGCCACAUCUUCCACCUACACCACAGCUCAUGGCAAGGCCGGAUCCUUAAUCCACUGAGCAAGGAUCUGGCAGUGCCAUGAGCUGUGGUGUAGGUUGCAGACGCGGCUCGGAUCCUUCGUUGCUGUGGCUGUGGCAUAGGCUGGCAGCUGUAGCUCCAACUGGACCCCUAGUCUGGGAAUCUCCAUGUGCCAUGGGUUCAGCCCUAAAAAGAAAAAUAAAUAAAACAAAACAAAAUAAAAUAAAAGUGUAGUUCCCCUACUAUAUGACCUUUUUUGGCUAUCUGGCCUAGGUUAUGUUCCCCGUCUUUCGAUUGUGAAAGACCUAUAAUAUCUUCAUAGGCCAGUGUAUACAGGUCCUGGUAACUAGUCAGUCUAGGCUGGAGACAUCCCUGAAUGUGAAGUCAAGAGGCGACCAAGGUCAAAACAGACAGGGUGAAAUUGUGUAGUAUAAAAGAUAAUUAUUAAGGGAUGGGGGUGGGCAAGCCAUGCCUGCCAUCUCCAGUACAAAUGUUUUUAAAUUUUUGUUCUCACUGAGAGCAAACUUGAUGACAGCCCACCAUUUAAAAUUAAGAUUUCAUACAAAUUUAUGGUUACCAAAGGGGACAGGCUGAGGGAGGAGGGAUGGACUGGAAAUUUGGGACUGGCAUAUGCACACUUUUGUAUAUGGAAUCAUUGGCCAAUUGGAACCAGUUGCAUAGCAUAGGGAACUCUACCCAAUAUUCUGUGAUAAUCUGUAUGGGAAAAGAAUCCGAGAAAGAAUGGAUGUGUGUAUAAGAAUAACUUUGUGAACAGGAAUCACAAACUGAAUCACUUUGUAGUACAGCAGAAAUUAUGACAACAUUAUAAAUCAACUAUACCUUAAUAAAACCUUAAAAUUGAAAAUAAUAAAAUAAGGAGUUCCUGUCUUGGCUCAGUGGCAACGAAUCUGACUAGCAUCCAUGAGGACACAGGUUUGAUCCCUGGCCUCAAUCAGUAGGUUAAAGGACUUGGCAUUGCCAUGAGCUAUGGUAUAGGUCACAGACAAGGCUCAAUCUGGCAUUGCUGUGGCUGUGGGAGAGGCUGGAAGCUACAAGUCCUGAUUCAACCCCUAGCCUGAGAACCUCCAUAUGCCAAAGUACAGCUCUAAAAAGACAAUAAAAUAAAAUAAAAGUCCAUAUCUUUAAUACUAGUAUGAUUUUUAAUCCUUUCUCAGUUUUUUUAAUUAGAGAUAAUUGACAUAUAAUUCUCCCUCAUUUUUAAAAGUCAAAUUGGGCAAAAACCUUAAGUGGUAAAUGUGAUCAUAGUUUGGAAAACUCUGUGAGUCUGAUCCAUGUGGAAUAACGUUACACACUCUCAACUCCUUCAGAAAUCUAUUUGUCAGUGAACCUUAUUAGGACCUCUCCAAAUUAUCCCAGUAUCACCAAGAACCUAAAAAUUGUAGGAUGCACACAGUUUAAAGCCAAAUCAUUAACACUGGUUGAUGUCUCUCACCACCUCUGCUUUUCACAAGCUGCACUUACCACCCUGCAGCUUAUGAUUGCUCAGAAAAUAGUAGGACCAUCCAUUGGCAAUUCUAUCAUAGUUUUCGCAUGCCAAUUCUUGAUUCUCCCCCCCACCCCGUUUUCUUUCUGAUAUCAAGAAUAAUGUUUACAAUGUGAUAACAGCAUGGUCCCAGUGUGAGUGUAACCAACAGUCAUGAAAAGCAAACACCUAAGGCCAUCUCUGUCAAACGUGCUUUACAGUACUGGUCCCCAUGGGAUGAAAUAGCCCAGUGCUUGGGGAGGGAA